ACGUACGUAUGUACGAUUAGUAUUUAGUACGCACUACGCAGUUACUGCUGUGCCAUGGUUCUCUGCUUUGUUGAAGUUUCUCUGGUCGCUUUUUAAACGUACCUAAAAGAACAAUCAUACGAAUCUUUUACAUGUGAGUCCGAUUUCCAGUUUUCACUGAUGAUGAGUAAUAUCUCGGGAAGCAGUGUUCAGUUUGAUCUAGCGAUUUUGAAAAAGUGCUAAAAAAUCAGCAGCUUCUGAAAGACCCACAUCAUUGGUAAUUUCGUGAAUCCCGUUACUCGAAAGUUUUUCCAUCAGUAGUGAUAAGCAAUGUUUUUACCGUCACCAUCACGUAUGUGUUGAUGCUCGUGAUCGGUCCACAAUUCGUCUCAAAGAAUUUGAGGCUUUCAAUCAGUCAUCACGGUGUCUAGUUCACCGCAGUACUUAUUCAACUUCCAACCACGAAGGGCAGAAGUUACAUGGCAUCGCACAAUUCGUUUACAGGUACUCGGAGAUGCCGCCGCCGUAGCUGCUGUUUGCCCGCAGCAAAUUGGUCGCAGUUCCUCCAACGUCAUUGCCCGGACUCCCCUUGUUCAUC
rnacentral:misc_RNA from 1 species